rnacentral:rRNA from 1 species
CCUACGGGAGGCAGCAGUGAGGAAUAUUGGUCAAUGGGCGCGAGCCUGAACCAGCCAAGUAGCGUGAAGGAUGACUGCCCUACGGGUUGUAACCUUCUUUUAUAAAGGAAUAAAGUGAGGCACGUGUGCCUUUUUGUAUGUACUUUAUGACUCAGGAUCGGCUAACUCCGUGCCAGCAGCCGCGGUAAUACGGAGGAUGCUAGCGUUAUCCGGAUUUAUUGGGUUUAAAGGGUGCGUAGGCGGGCUUUUCAGUCAGCGGUAAAAAUUCGGGGCUAAACCCCGUCCGGCCGUUGAAACUGGGGGCCUUGAGUGGGCGAGAAGAAGGCGGAAUGCGUGGUGUAGCGGUGAAAUGCGUAGAUAUUAGGAGGAACACCAGUGGCGAAGGCGGCCUGCUGGGCUUUUACUGACGCUGAGGCUCGAAAGUGUGGGGAGCAAACAGGAUUAGAUACCCUUGUAGUC